UCACCAGGACGCUGCGCACAACAUGGGAAACCACCUGCCGCUUCUGCCUGGUAACCUCGGGGACGGGCGCCUAGUCAUGGGUGGAGACCAAGACCCGGGGCCGAUUCCUCAGGGAGGAUGGGGACAGCUACCCUGGCUCAGCGGCCAGUGGGAGCCUCUCGUGAGCCUCCCCCGCCGGAGCCCUGCGCUUUCCUCCCGGCCUGUCUCCUGGGCUGUCCGGGAUGUUGGGGCGACGGUCUUUCGUUGCCCAGAACAGGUUUCCCAUUCCUCUCCAUCUUUCUCCCAAGCUAACGUCCGUGAAAAUAUUCUGGGGCUAGGCGAAGUUGGGAACCGGGUCACAUUAGCAGCCGUUAACUUUUAUUGCUCUUAUGCCUUUGAAUAAGACUGACAGCUAACGUGUAGUAGGAACUUGCAGGUCAUGGGCCCCCGCAGUG
rnacentral:lncRNA from 1 species